rnacentral:rRNA from 1 species
UAGAGUUUGAUCCUGGCUCAGAUUGAACGCUGGCGGUAUGCUUAACACAUGCAAGUCGAACGGUAACAGGUCUUCGGGUGCUGACGAGUGGCGGACGGGUGAGUAAUGCGUAGGAAUCUGCCUAUGAGUGGGGGAUAACGUGUGGAAACGCACGCUAAUACCGCAUAAGCCCUACGGGGGAAAGCGGGGGAUCAUAAGACCUCGCGCUGAUAGAUGAGCCUAUGUUGGAUUAGCUAGUUGGUAGGGUAAAGGCCUACCAAGGCGACGAUCCAUAGCUGGUCUGAGAGGAUGAUCAGCCACACUGGGACUGAGACACGGCCCAGACUCCUACGGGAGGCAGCAGUGGGGAAUAUUGGACAAUGGGCGCAAGCCUGAUCCAGCAAUACCGCGUGUGUGAAGAAGGCCUGAGGGUUGUAAAGCACUUUCAAUGGGGAGGAAAACCUGCCGGUCAAUACCCGGCAGCUUGACAUUACCUUUAGAAGAAGCACCGGCUAACUCCGUGCCAGCAGCCGCGGUAAUACGGAGGGUGCGAGCGUUAAUCGGAAUUACUGGGCGUAAAGCGUGCGUAGGCGGUUGAUUAAGUCAGAUGUGAAAGCCCCGGGCUUAACCUGGGAACGGCAUUUGAUACUGGUUAACUAGAGUUGAGUAGAGGGGAGUGGAAUUUCAGGUGUAGCGGUGAAAUGCGUAGAUAUCUGAAGGAACACCAGUGGCGAAGGCGACUCCCUGGACUCAAACUGACGCUGAGGUACGAAAGCGUGGGUAGCAAACAGGAUUAGAUACCCUGGUAGUCCACGCUGUAAACGAUGUCAACUAGCCGUUGGUUCUAUAUACAGAAUUAGUGGCGCAGCUAACGCAUUAAGUUGACCGCCUGGGGAGUACGGCCGCAAGGUUAAAACUCAAAGGAAUUGACGGA